rnacentral:lncRNA from 1 species
AAAAAAUUUAAUUCGUUGAGUGGUGACGGGGACUAACACCGACGUGGCGUGCAUAAGUUCCGCGUAACGAAUUGAACGACAUUCACGAUUACUAAAAAUUCCUCAAAACCGCAAAAACAGAACCACGCUUCUAAAAGACAAGAUCAAAAGUGUUCCUACAUACGAGCUCAGCUCCAGGGACUCCAUCCCAUGAUUUUCUCAUACAAAGCAAAUAUCCAGGGAUUCAAGACAGUUAGGGAAAUGUUGCUCCACAAAUGGUCCGAGCAGCUGGAGAGGAGCGGACACCAUUCAUCCACCAAUGCGCUGUAAAAACAUAUCCAGCUUCGAAUUCAGCAACAUCAAGUCUUGAUUUGGAGUUUCCUGCAACAGUAGUUUGCAAAACUCAGCACGAAGCAACCACGACCGGUUAUCUUAGUGAAAACAACAAGUGACAGCUGAGGCAGGUACCUGAAAGAUAAUAGAUAGAUAUGCAGCAAAUGUUCAAAUUGCUCAAAACUGACGCCUUUGCCUAGCUUCAGCCACAGACACCCGAAUUUGCCUCCCAUCAAGUUCCUGGAUGCACAGCAUCAGAUUGGUCAGCAACUCAGCAUACAAAUUACACUUCAUAUCUAUCGCGGUAAAUUGAUAUAAUGCAAUGACUUUCAUCAUCAAUGACAUAGCAAGAAAUGCAACAAAUCACUCAUCAAUCCUGACUUGGCAUUUGUUUAUUAGACGCAAGACUAUCUGAGUAAUGCAAUGUACUGAGCAGACGAAUGACAAGACAAAGCUUGAUACUUGAAAUUCAGAUUUUCCAAAAACAAGAUAUGAAAAUGGACAGGGAAACUUACAGCGCCAUUCAACGAGUCAAUGGCGUUGUUCAUCUCGUCAGGUGAGCUGAAAGUGACGAAACCAAAGCCCCUU